AACGCCCAGUUGUCUUCCGCCGUUCGCCAGAAAAAGGGAAAGCGAGCGAGCCCCGUCGCGGAGUAACGCCUGCGCAGAGAAGGACGAGGAGCGCUGCCGCGAGGUGUAGGUACACCCCGCAUAGCGUGAGAGAGGCGGACUGCGGCCAUAGAGAGGCCGCGAGGGGCAGAGGAGAUGCUUUUUGCACCCCGACCGAGACAGAAACGCCGGCACCCACUCCUCGAGUUCUUUCCGCUCGUCUGCAGUCAAGAUCGACUUCGGGAAAUCCUUGAGGUCUUCGAUCAAGCCGUCGCUGGAGUGCCAUGCAGGACGAGGAGCCGAGAAAACCGAAGCUGGCAGAGAAGACGACGGCGAAGAUGUAUACGAUCUCUCGCCUUCACCUUGGGCGCGAGACGACGGAGUCGAAGACGAAAAGGGAGACAGAGGAGGAGAAGAACGCGCGGCAGCAGGGAAAGGAAGUGAGGCAGGAGGCUGGUAGAACAAGAGCGGAGUCGCGUCAGAGGCAGAAGGGUACCCAGAAGCUACAGAGGGUUGGACGACGCCGAGGAGGGAUCCGGAUCGUGGGAACCGACUGGAAGAGUCACGAGGGGGUUCGUCGGCGUUCUGCCUGUUUCCGGGCCCAGGAGUCGGCGCGCCUGCCACGCGUGCUCCCGUCCCCCCUUGGCUAUGUCCCGUUGCUCCGUUCUCUCUCUCCAGCUGGCGCGGGGGAGAGGCGUUGAAGGAGAAGGGACGAGGCCGCGAACCUGGAGCUUCGCGUCCUCUUUCUCGUUCUGCACGAGACGAGCUCGAGGCAGAACGCGCGUGAGGUGCGAACGGAUUGGAAAGAGAGCAGAAAGGCAGAACACGAGAGGCGGCGCACGGGGAUCGCCAGAUGAUGCCGCCUUCAACGUUCCGAAUGACAAUCGUCGGCGGCGGGAACGGACUGUCUCUCCGCUCGGUUCGCGGCGCGAUGCUGGCUUGGUGCUCCCUCCACUGCAGCGCUGUUUCCUGUCUCUCUCCUGCGCUUUCGUCGUUUGUCUCCCCACUCGUGCCGCGUGCGCGGUUUCUCUCUCUCUGGCUCGCCCGAUCUCCGCCACUGGCCGACAGGUCCCACCGCCCUGGCCGUCGCGCUGUCUCCGGGGCUGCGUCCGGCUCCUGGCAAUUUCUUUCUUCGUCUUUUCGCCGACAGUCGCGCGCGUCCGGGGCCUCCCCAGGCGCCGCAGAGAGGAGAAGAAGCAGGUUUUCCGGUUUUAAGUCGCGGUGCACGACGCCCUUGGAAUGCAUGUGGCGAGUCGCCUUCAAGAGGCCGGUGACGAUUCGCAAGAUCACAUGUUCUUCGAGGAGCCAUCUGCCGUCCAUGCUGAAGUCGGUCUCCAAGAAACUUUCCUCGAGAGAAGACGCAGCGAACGCUUCGGAAGCAGCGAAGGAAGAAGACGAAGAAGGGAGCACAGCAGACGCAUCGGGAGAGGCGGCGCGGACCGGAGGGACGGCGUCGCCGAGUUCGGGAUUCCGGAAGGGAGACGGAGCAGCAGAGAGAGGCGGAAAGAGGAGAGGACUGGGACGAGGAAGCGAGGAAAUCACAACUGGCUGAGUCGUUUCAGGGACACUUCCGCGUGCCUGGAGAAAGCGCCUACGCUGUCGAAGCAGCAACUUCAAGCUCAAAUACUGGAUGACCCUGAGAAAGGAAACCGACCCAAGCAUUCAGCGAGGGAGAGAAGAGGCCAGAGAUGAAACGGGACGCCGAGAGUAUCGGAGCAAAAAUUGCCUGAAGGAAAACGUGUAUGUUUUUAUCCAUAGCUCUAGAGAGACAAAUAUGCCUCGUUCUCAAGAUGAACUUCGCGCGAAAUAUCCCAUCGUGAAAACGGACACAGAAAGC
rnacentral:lncRNA from 1 species